AUUGAACGCUGGCGGCAUGCCUUACACAUGCAAGUCGAACGGCAGCACGGGAGCAAUCCUGGUGGCGAGUGGCGAACGGGUGAGUAAAGUAUCGGAACGUGCCCAGUCGUGGGGGAUAACGUAGCGAAAGUUGCGCUAAUACCGCAUACGAUCUAUGGAUGAAAGCGGGGGAUCGCAAGACCUCGCGCGAUUGGAGCGGCCGAUAUCAGAUUAGGUAGUUGGUGGGGUAAAGGCUCACCAAGCCGACGAUCUGUAGCUGGUCUGAGAGGACGACCAGCCACACGAGGAAUGAGACACGGCCCAGAAUCCGACGGGAGGCAGCAGUGUGGAAUUUUGGACAAUGUGCGCAAGCCUGAUCCAGCCAUGCCGCGUGCAGGAUGAAGGCCUUCGGGUUGUAAACUGCUUUUGUACGGAACGAAAAGGUUUGGCCUAAUAAGCUGAGCUCAUGACGGUACCGUAAGAAUAAGCACCGGCUAACUACGUGCCAGCCGCCGCGGUAA
rnacentral:rRNA from 1 species